UACGGAGGGAGCUAGCGUUGUUCGGAUAUACUGGGCGUAAAGCGCACGUAGCGGCGCCGUAAGUCAGGGGUGAAAUCCCGGAGCUCAACUCCGGAACUGCCCUUGAAACUGCAGUGCUAGAAUCUUGGAGAGGCGAGUGGAAUUCCGAGUGUAGAGGUAGAAAUUCGUAGAUAUUCGGAAAGAACACCAGUGGCGAAGGCGACUCGCUGGACAAGUAUUGACGCUGAGGUGCGAAAGCGUGGGGAGCAAAGCAGGAUUAAGAUACCCCGUGACGUCCGA
rnacentral:rRNA from 1 species